rnacentral:rRNA from 1 species
AGGACGAACGCUGGCGGCGUGCUUAACACAUGCAAGUCGAGCGGAAAGGCCCUUCGGGGUACUCGAGCGGCGAACGGGUGAGUAACACGUGAGUAACCUGCCCCUAGCUCUGGGAUAGCUCCGGGAAACCGGGAUUAAUACCAGAUACGACCACUUUAGACAUCUGUCGUGGUGGAAAGGAUUCCGGCUAGGGAUGGGCUCGCGGCCUAUCAGCUUGUUGGUGGGGUAACGGCCUACCAAGGCGACGACGGGUAGCCGGCCUGAGAGGGCGACCGGCCACACUGGGACUGAGACACGGCCCAGACUCCUACGGGAGGCAGCAGUGGGGAAUAUUGCGCAAUGGGCGGAAGCCUGACGCAGCGACGCCGCGUGGGGGAUGAAGGCCUUCGGGUUGUAAACCCCUUUCACCAGGAGCGAAUCAAGACGGUACCUGGGGAAGAAGCGCCGGCUAACUACGUGCCAGCAGCCGC